rnacentral:rRNA from 1 species
GCGUCAGCAGGCGCGAAUCGUUCACAAUGGGCGCAAGCCUGAUGGCGCGACGCCGCGUGUGGGAUGGAGGCCUUCGGGUUGGUAAACCACUGUCACAGGGGAAGAAAGGCACGGAUGCUAACAUCGUCCGUGUUUGACGUUACCCUGAGAGGAAGCCACGGCUAACUCCGUGCCAGCAGCCGCGGUAAUACGGAGGUGGCAAGCGUUGUUCGGAAUUACUGGGCGUAAAGGGUGCGCAGGCGGUC